AUUGAACGCUGGCGGCAGGCCUAACACAUGCAAGUCGAGCGAGCGGCGGACGGGUGAGUAAUGUCUGGGAAACUGCCUGAUGGAGGGGGAUAACUACUGGAAGCGGUAGCUAAUACCGCAUACCAUCAGAUGUGCCCAGCUGGGAUUAGCUGGUAGUGGGGGUAACGGCUCACCUAGGCGACGAACCCGAGCUGGUCUGAGAGGAUGACCAUCACAACUGGAAAGGAGACACGUUCCAGACGCCGACGGGAGGCAGCAGUGGGGAUUAUUGCACAAUGGGCGCAAGCCGGAUGCAGCCAUGCCGCGUGUUGGAAGAGGGCCGUCGGGUUGUAAAGCACUUUCAGCGGGGAGGCGUUACCCGCAGAAGAAGCACCGGCUAACGCCGUGCCAGCAGCCGCGGUAAUAC
rnacentral:rRNA from 1 species